AUUGAACGCUGGCGGCAGGCCUAACACAUGCAAGUCGAACGAGUGGCGGAGGGGUGAGUAAUGUCUGGGAAACUGCCCGAUGGAGGGGGAUAACUACUGGAAACGGUAGCUAAUACCGCAUACCAUCGGAUGAGCCCAGAGGGGAUUAGCUAGAAGGUGGGGUAAUGGCGCACCUAGGCGACGAUCCCUAGCUGGUCUGAAAGGAUGACACGCCACACUGGAACUGAGACACGGUCCAGACUCCUACGGGAGGCAGCAUUGGUGAAUAUUGCACAAUGGGCGCAAGUCUGAUGCAGCCAUGCCGCGUGUAUGAAGAAGGCUUUCGGGUUGUAAAGUACUUUCAGCGAGGAGGCGUUACUCGCAGAAGAAGCACCGGCUAACUCCGUGCCAGCAGCCGCGGUAAUUC
rnacentral:rRNA from 1 species